rnacentral:lncRNA from 1 species
GGGGGAUGGCCCACCUUGGCCACAACGUGGCUCCGCAAGUGUAGGCAUAGACACUUCAUGCAUGUACGUAGACUAACAUGCCUAUAUAUGAACAUGCCAACGCAGACUCUAUCCCUCACUUGUCACCUCCAUGAAAAUCUUGAACUAACAGAUCUUGAAAUUGACGAUAGUCAUAAUAAUAAUGCCUUUUGUGUUGAAAGACAUCUUGC